GGGCCAAGUCAGAGUACUUCAAACUCCCUGCGACCUCGUUGGAGACAAAUACACCGACGGCCCUCAUUAAUCGGACCAGCAAGAGCUCUUUCCUGAGAGCGGCGUAUUUAUAUCAUCGUUCCGCCUUGCUGCCAUGAGACAUGCUUCAAAGCCCAAAUGUAUGCGUUUAUUCCACGCACUUUUUGACCUCCUUUUUACAGUAGAGGAGUGUCCCUUUUGGUCGCCCUGAAAACAAACCUGCAGGAACACGAAAGCGCAUCCUUGACCGGAAAAAAGUUGAAGGAAUCCUAACGUAUGUCCUGAGAUGCGGUACCCUUCCUGAUUGGGACAAUAUUGAGGAGGCCAAGCUCAAAAAAGCUUUGGUAAACAAAUGUCGGGCCAGAGCCGGUUUUAAGUAGGCCCUUGUACCUGUCAAGUUCAUUCUAUGGUAGGAUGUUUCCUUGGUAAACAUGUUCAAUAUUUUGGUCUAGGUUUGCGUAGUAUAUAUUGUAAAAAAUUGCCUUAUGAUGUAGCUUUUAGUACCACGUUAUUCUGUGAUAAUGCAUAUUGAGGUGUGCUGUGCCAACCAAAUUUGGCACUGAUGCCAGCGCCCCCCGCGACCCCAAAAGGGAAUAAGCGGUAGAAAAUGGAUGGAUGGAUGGAUGCAACCUCACUAACAAGCUAGCGGCUAAUAUCCUUUCACAGUGCAAAGUUUUUUCCAAAUAAAAAAAUAAUGCAACCGGAAA